rnacentral:rRNA from 1 species
UUAUCGGAGAGUUUGAUCCUGGCUCAGGACGAACGCUGGCGGCGUGCCUAAUACAUGCAAGUCGAGCGGACCAUUUAAAAGCUUGCUUUUGAAUGGUUAGCGGCGGACGGGUGAGUAACACGUGGGCAACCUGCCUGUAAGACUGGGAUAACUCCGGGAAACCGG